AGAAGUUGCCAUUCUCUGCAGUUUUCUGUUGGGUCUUGGGGACAGCUGCUUCAACACCCAGCUGCUUAGCAUCUUAGGCUUUCUCUAUUCUGAAGACAGUGCACCGGCCUUUGCCAUCUUUAAGUUUGUUCAGUCCAUCUGCGCGGCUGUGGCCUUUUUCUACAGCAACUACCUUCUCCUUCACUGGCAGCUCCUGGUCAUGGUGGUAUUUGGGUUUUUUGGAACUAUUUCAUUCUUCACUGUGGAAUGGGACGCUGCUGCCACUGUGGCCCGGGGCUCUGACUACCGAAGUAUCUGAUGAGGUACCCGUGGGAGGCUGCACAGCUCCAGAGCACAGUUGAAGUGACUUCAGUUGUCUUCAUAGUACAGUGGAUGAUGUUGAGUGUGGAGAAUCAAAGAGUUCAGGCUUGAACCAGCUGGAGCUGGAUUAAAGUUUACAGAUAUUAGUUAUUUAAAACCAGUGUAAUAAGGGAAAUCUAUCAGUUAUAAUUGUUCAGCGAUACUGCUUUCCAUUUAUCUAUCUCAAGCUCCUUACAAUCACAUUAUAGAGUGUGAAUGUAUUCUUCUGCCUUGAGAAUUCCAGGCCAUAUGUCGUAUAAGGAUUCUUGCUGGGUCUGGAGUGUGUUUUACUACAUAGUAACGGAAACAUAUGCCUCUCCACAUGUGUAUCUGGAAUGACAUUCAAAUAGUGAUGUGCUGACAUUUAGUCUAACUUUGAAAAGGUUUUUCCUCAUUAAAUGUUUCUUAGAUUUUCUUACCUCAUAGUUCAUACCAAGGAGUGGCCAAUUAAGUAUAAAAUGAGGAAAAAUUAUCUCAAGUCUUAAAACAAGAAUAUAACAUCACAGCAAACAAAACCAUGUUUAGAAGAGUUAAACACAUUUACUAGGGGAAGACUUUUGUUAGUAAUUUUCCUGAAAGAUACAAUGCAAGAAAGAAAGAAAAACUAGAGGGAGGUCUGAGCUGGGGGGAGGAUGUUGUCACUUAAGUGUGAUCUUAUAGCAGAUGCCAUUCAGUCACAUGUCUGAGAGUGGAAUGUAACUAUAUAGGAAAAUAUUUAAGUGGAGAUGUUAACUUUCCUCUAUAAGAACUCGCUUAAAAUUUUUAUAAUUGAGAUGUAAUUCAGAAAUGAUAAAAUUCAUCAUUUUAAAAUGUGCAAUUUAAUGUGGUUUUUUGAAAAAAAGUAUAUUUGGUAACCAUCACCAUUAUCGAGAACAUUUUCCUCACCCCAAAAAGAAGCCCCCCACCUGUCAGCAGGCACUUCCCUUCUCUGGCUGGCAGCCCCUCGAGUGCCUUCUGUCUCUGCCCUUGCCUGUUCUGGAGGUGGCAGAGCUCGCGGUCAGUGAUGCUCACCUGUACCAAUGAAGAGCUGCACGACAAGCGAGUCCAGCCCAGGGACAAACAGUACCUUGUUUUCUUUCUUUCUUUUUUUUUUUAACAUUCUCUGUCCCUUUUUUUUUUUUUAAGAGAGAGAGACAAUUUUUUAAUAUUUAUUUUUCAGUUUUGGGCAGACACAACAUCUUUGUUUGUAUGUGGUGCUGAGGAUCAAACCCAGGCCGCACACAUGCCAGGCGAGCGCGCUACCGCUUGAACCACAUCCCCAGCUCACAAUACCUUGUUUUCCAUUAUUUUUUUUUAAACCUGCCAGAAAUUUAGAAAUUUUAUUGUUGGUUUGAAAAAUCUGAAGAAGUUCCACGUGUUUGGUGACAGCAGCAGGGAGUCGGAGACCCUGCAAUUAGGUGAACUUCUGGGAGAAGUCUCUUGGUGGAGCGCUAGCUCUUGGGCUCCAGGUUGUGAGGCUGCUCUUCUUGUAGUUGACCUACCCUCCCUUGGUUUAGUUGACCCUGUGGAAAAACUGUAUUGUCAAUGCUCUUUCUUUCGGACUUAAGACAACGAUCUGUUUUCUUUCUAAGCUCAUUAUUAUUUUAGUUUUCUAAUGCAAUAUAAUAAAUUACCCCCAAAAUUAGGUGCUUACAGUAACACGCACCUAUUAUUAUCCCUCAGUUUGUGAGUCUGAGGGUUCUGAGCCGGGUCCUCGGUGCCCUUGCCAUGGAAGUCUGGAAGCUGCCUGGCCCCUGGGGGAGAUGCCCAGCUGUCUCAGGCAGGCCAGCAGGAGUCAGUUCUUCACCAUCUCCUGGACCGAGGUCUCUGGUUUCAUGUGGCUGUUGGCUGAGACCAUCUUCCUUCUGUGGAGCUGUCCUUGGGGCAGCUCACCAUAUGACAGUCACCCUUGCUACAGAAGACCAGAGCCAGAGGGAGCAAGGCGGAAGUCACGCCCUCCUCCCUAGCUCUGUCUCCUGCAUUCCUUUGGCAGGUCACUUGGCCCAAGGGGAGAGGGUUACACAGGGCUGAGUGCAAGGGCUGGGUUGUUGGGGCCAGGCUGCUGGUCACAGGAGCCUUUCAUGUCGGGGGGCAUUCCCAAGCCCCUCCUCUCCCAGGCCCUUGCCCUGUUGGCUCCUAGUAAAGCUGCAAGGCUGUGCUGGCAGAGGGCGGGGAGCAGGCUCUGUGAGCAGCUUGUUGAACCCAGGGAAGCCAUGCCUCACCGCUUGUAGGGUCCCUGGCGGUGGUUGCCCCAGAAGUGAAGUGAGUGCCCACUUCCCUGGCUGCUCCCUGCUGUGUGCUGUGCUGCUCACUUUAAGUUCUGUACUCCCGUUAUUUUUUGGGGGGGGGGGGAUGAGGGUUGUUUUGUUUUUACUCCAUUUUUGUGUAUCUAUAGUGUGAAUAAAUUGGGAACUCUUUAGAUGACCUAAAACACGAAGGCCAUCUUUUAAAUUCUCAGCAUUAGUUAUUUACAAAUGAAAUGUGACAAUGAAAUAAAGAGUUUAAUUUUUUAAGUGCUUGUCUUAUACAUUCUGUCAAUGAUUUUUAUCUCCAUGCUUUAGCUUGGCCUUGCAUGGGGGUGUGUAUAUGGGUGUGCUGCUGUUACUGCAGAUUCAUGUCCCAUAUGCUGACAUUUGGCUCAGACCUGGAGCGACUUUUAUUUGUUUAAUUAUUUACAUUUUGCUGUUAGAGGGGGAACCCAGAGCCUCCUGCAUGCUAAGCAUGUGCUUUACACACUGUUAUGCCCCCAGCUUAAAACUGUUGUUGAACCAUGAAUGUUUUUCUCAGAGUUUGAAGAUGUCCCCCAGCCCCCGCUGCCCUCCGGAAUUUUCCACACCCAGAAACUUGAAAACCUUUAAACAUGGACUCUGGCUUUUCAUAUACAGGUUUUCUUUCCUGAUGUAUUUGUUGACCCACCCACUGUAAAUCUAUAGGGGGAGUCUGUAAGUUCUCAAAAACAAGUUCCAAUUAAUAGUUAAACAUCUGAGUCCCCACCAGCAGAUGAGGGGUAAAGGUGUGUGAUAUGUCAUUCAUCUGUGUUAGCUUUUUUGUUACUGUGACCAAAAUACCUGACAAACAACUUAGAGAGGAAAGAUUUCUUUUGGCUUGUGGUUUCUAUCCAAGGUUGGCUGGCUCCAGGGCAGAAAUGUCGUGGCCUGAGGGCUCGACCGAGGAAAUCCACUCAGCUCCUGGCAGCUGUGAAACUGUGAGGAAGGGUCAGGGGACAUGAUGUAGUUCCCGGGCUGGGGAUGUGGCUCAAGCGGUAGCGCGCUCGCCUGGCAUGCGUGCAGCCCGGGUUUGAUCCUCAGCACCACAUACAAACAAAGAUGUUGUGUCCGCCGAAAACUAAAAUAAAUAAAUAUUAAAAGAUUCUCUCUCUCUCUCUCUCUCUCUUUAAAAACAAAAAAAAAAAAUGUAGUUCCCAAAGGUACCGCCUCGGUGACCACUUCCUCCACCCCUGUUCCUGCUGCCUCGCUUCCCCACUUUCCAGUAGUCCAUUCCAGUUAUUAAACCAUCAGAUGGGUUAAUUCACCCAACCCCUGGACAUUGCUGCCUUGGGGACCAAGUCUUCAAUACAUCAGCUUUUGUUCUAGAUCCACACCACAAGGUCAUCCUUAAAAAGGAACUUCUGUCACGUGCCAUAGAUAGGCUUUGAGGUAUUAUGUGAAGUGAAAUAAGUCAAAAAGAAACACUGGCUCCACUUAGGUGAGGCCCCUGGUAGUCGAAUUUAUAGACAAGUAGAACCGUGGGUCGGGGAGGGAGGAAUGGGGAGUCCGGGUUGGAGGAGUCCAGUGUAAAGUAAAAGUUACAGAGAUGGAUAUGGAAAUAGAUGUCUAUGGUGAUUGAAUAAAAAGUGAAUAUGCGUAAUGCCUCGGAACUGUACACCUAAAAACAGGUACAGUGGUCAAUUUUGUAUCUUACCAGUUUAAAAUAUUUUGGAAAGUUACGUGAGUGUUGUGUCUCGGAGACCUGAGGACCAUCCCUGAACAGCCCUGGGCAUGUAGUUGUAAUCAUGGCUUAAGGUUUAUUACAGUGACAUGGCUGGGAUACACAGCCAGGUCCUGGGGAACCUCUGGAGGAGCCUCGUGUGGGCUUUCUUGGGCUGUCCAUCCUGGGAGCAUGCUGGCCUGCUUGUCCUCCGGCUGUGAAGACAGCAGUGAGCAUGGUGAACUUACAGCACUGAUGUUUUCACUGAGGUCUGGUCACAUGGGAAGCCUGUACAGCUUCUGCCCAAAUUCCACACUCCCAGAAGGAAAGCAGGUCUCUAUGGCAGAAGCCACUCUAUUUCCACUGUUCUGGGAACUGGACACGCUCAGAAGCCAGCCAAGGGCCAGCUGGGAAGGAGAGCAGUCUGGUCCUCCUCUGUACAGUGACGAAGCAGGCUCAGGUAGGAGGCUUCCACAAGGGUUGGCAUGUGCCUUCCAACCGCCCUGUGGUGCUGGGUUCUUUUUAUUUUUUUGGCGGUGUCGGGGAUUGAACCCAGGGCCUUGUGCACCCCAGGUUCAUUUUUGCUGGGCAUUUCCUUUAGGGCUAUAGUCCUUAGGGUCUGCCCAUUGACUUUAACUGAUAAGACUCCAUUUUGGGGAACCACAGAAUCUAAAACCUGUUUGUAGGUACUCCUUGGAACAAACAUCAUGGAUUUGAGUGAUUGGCAACGGAACAUGUGUAUCCUUUAUUUUCUCAAAUUAGAUUUACUAUGGAACUGAAAAAAAAUUCUUUGUAGUAUGGCUAAGCGUCCAGUAGUGUUACUUUUGGUCCUCCAAGAAAAUGGAAGCCUUGGGCAAAUGGGAUCAUUCUGUCCACAUAGUAGGGAUAAAUGUCCUACUGUGGGCCUUUGCUGUUUAUCUAAAAGUGAAAUGAAGACGGAUACUGAUAAGAAAAUUAAGUUUCAAAAGUCAACAUCUCAUUCAAAUGUCACAUAACUACCGUGGCUUGUUUGUAUUCCUUUGCUUUGGUUUCCAGCUUGUAAAAUAGACAGCCCUCUUCUCUCUCAGAAAUAUUUUUGUUUGUUUUUGAGGUGCUAGGAACCCAAGGUGGGUGCUCUACCCCUGAGCUCCAUCCCCAGCCCAGUUCUAGAAAGUUUAUUGGUGUCAUCUGAGGCCAACAAACUAGAAUGUUCCAGUGGCUCUGGACAGCAGCAGGAUGUGCUCUGAGCACCUCUGUGGCGUCUGGUAAUGAUUGUUUUCCAAACCGCGGUCAAGGCUGGAAGGUCUCCUGGUCUUGUCCAAGGAGUUCUGCCCCGAUGCUGUGAACUGAGAGCUGAUGGGCAGGAAGAGCUGGAUGCAGCUGGAGGAAGGUCGCCCAGGAGGCUCCUGGUGCGUCCCUUCUUCGCUUCAUUUCAGCUCGUAGACUUUCUUCUCUCCUUCAGUCGCUGUCAGGUAGCCCGAUUCUUCCCUAUUUUUUUGCUUCCAUCCUAAGCCUGCUCGACUUCUUUUUUAUUGGUUUGGUUCUUUCAAUUUUGUGUUUUGAAAGGGAUCCUCUGGAAUAAUUGUCACAUGAACUGAAAACCAAGUCUUGAUGACUCAUUGUAGCCUGAGGAGAAUGUGCCUCUCUUUUGCAGGGGGUGGGUAGGGUGCUGUUCACAACCAGAUGAACUAAUUCAAUGAAAAAGGAGCAUAGCCAACAUUUUCAGUUGGCAUGUGGGCAAGUCGUCUGUGCAAACAAUGGUGCUGUGGGAGGGAGCUGGCAAGGGUGCCAGGGCUGGCAUUGCUCCUGCAGGUAGACUCUGUGCCUGUGGGAUUCUGCAGGGCAGGCUUUGCAGCCAGAGCGUGCGUAACUGAAAGACAUCACCUUGGCAUCAGCAAACCCUUUUGACUUAGGGAACAUUUAGGCCCAUCCCAUUGUUUUGCAGGAUGCAGGGCGGUGUGUUGGUUUACAGUUAGUUUUUUUUCCUAAACAAGCAUCCCUUUCAUUCCUUUCUGGGUCAGCACAACCCCUGAUACUAGAGAAAGUGAAUGGCCCAAUGGGGACAUGCUUAUUUAUGUCUGUUCAUAUUAAAUAUUUAAAUAUGCCAGAUGAGCUGGCACACAUUCAGUGUCACCGUGCCCUCAGAGGUCUGCUUGGUAAGGAUGAUUUUCUUUGCCUACAGACUUUGCUUAGGAAUCUUGAGUGUUUGGCUCUCUGUCACAUUUUUGCAAAUAGUAUAAGCGAGGUACCAUUAUUACACUCAUUUUAUAAUGAUAAAGCCAGAUGCAGAGAGACCAGCUAACAUACUGAAAAUGGCGAAGCUGGUAGGUAAGGGACUGAAUUAAAACCCAGAUUGUCUGUUUUAGGGCCUGGACAAUUAGCUAUGCUCCAGCCAUGUACCACAGGUGGCUUGUCAGCGCAGGAUGCCAGGACUGUCAUGGCCAAGGCAGUAUAAGGUUUAUUAUAGUGUUUUCUAGGUACACAGGGGAGUGUGGCAGGCAGAAUAAGGACUCCCCAAGUGAGUCCUGUUCUAAUCCGCAGAGCCUGGGAAUAUGUUAGCUCCCUGGUGGGAGUCCGAGGGGAUUAAGGUGCAGAUGGAACAAGUUUGAUUAUCAGCCGAACUCGAGGCAGGAGAAUUAACCAUGGGUUAUCUGGAUGGGCCUGGUAUAAUCAAAGGGUUCAGAGUUAAAGAGGGAGGUGGGAGGGCCAAGGUCAGAGCAACGCCUGUGCACAGGCCAUGCUGUGGUGGGCUUUGGAGAUGCAGGAAGGAGUCACAGGCUGAGGAAGAUGGUGGCCUGUGAAGGAAGCAGGAACGGGCAAGGGAACAUUCUCCCUGGAACCUCCAGCAGGCAUACGUCCUGGUGACACCUUGGUUUGAGCCCAGCAGGGUCAUUUCAGACUCUACCUCCAGAAGUAUAAGGUAAUAAACUUGCGUUGUUUCAAAACAUUUAUUUGGGGCAAAUUAAAGCUAAUACAGGGAGGAAUGGAUUUUUUAAAAUCUUUCACAUUGGUUGACCACAGAUGGAAGGUGAGGGAUGUUGUAAUUUUCAAUAAAUUUCCCUGUUCAGAAUUGUUGGUUGUUGGGCUGGGGAUGUAGCUCAAGCGGUAGCGCACUUGCCUGGCAUGCGUGCAGCCCGGGUUCGAUCCUCAGCACCACAUACAAACAAAGAUGUUGUGUCUGCUGAAAACUAAAAAUAAUAAUAAUAAUAAUAAAUAUUAAAAUUCUCAAAAAAAAAAUAAAUAAAUAAAGAGAAUUGUUGGUUCUUCCUACCAGAUCAAGCCCAAACUUCUUAUUUCUCCCAACAUUUGACAGCUUCUAAGAACUGAUCCUACAGGACCUUAAUACUACAGAACUGCUCCAUGCAAAACCCAGACUUCGGGGUGCAAAGCCAUGCUCGUCUCCAGAACACACCCCUUUCUGGGGUCUCCUCAUUUUGCUCUGUGACUCCAUCCUACUUACCCAGCAUCUCUGCCUUUUCUCCCUGUGUUUCCCGGAAUGGCCUGUCUUUCCCCUGCUACCGACUCCUCCUGACCUGUCAGCCCCACCUCCCUGGUCCCCAGUCUGGAUGUAGUUGCUACAGGGGCAGAAGUCCUGUUCUCCUGACCUACUGCUCCUUUUGCACCCACGGUUUUUUAUUGCCCUCACAACUGGCUUAACUCCAUCACUUUAUGCAUACUCUUUACACUGAUGAGUCUGAAGACAUUUUUAUCCUAAACAUUUCCAACACCAAAUAAAUUGCUGUGUUUUUUUACCCCCAUAUCAACCAGUUAGAUGAGCGGUCACCCAUGAGACUCCCUCCCCUAAACAGCCUUCUCGUACCCUGGUCUCUGUGUGGGAGGGGCCACUCAUCCAUGGGCGACAGCCCACUCACGGAAUGUUGCUGCUAUUAAUCAUUUUUAAGAAGGAACAUGACACAAGUAAUAACCUGUUUGGCAAAGUCCCUUCGUGGUGUGUAAUUAUUUUUUUUCUGGCCGCAGAACGAUGAUUGUAAUGUUGGUUGCCUUGAUGCUUUUCUUGCUGCUCCAGAACUGAUGGCUGCAGUGAAAUAACCUCAGAAAAUGGCAGAGGAGCAGACCACUUUGCAACUCCACCAUAAGGCUGGUGUGACCUGGUUCCAAAGCCAGACACGACAAGAAAACCACAGACAAGUAUCCGUCAUGAACAUAGAGGCCAAGAUACUACCAAACCUAAUUCAUAUAAAACAAAUACAUAAAAAGGGUCCUACAUCGUGACCAAGUGGGAUUUGUCCCAGGAAAGCAGGAUUGGUUAAACAUCUCAAAAUCAAUUGAUAAAAAAGAGUCAUUUUCCAACACCAACCGGGUGUUCUUUUCUGAUGCUAACUAUUCAGCCCUAGCACAGACCCCACAAGUUAAAGGCUCGGUCCCAUAAGACUCCCCCUCUUCAGAUACAAGAAGGGCACGUUUGAUAUUUGCUAGUACAACUCACAGAACUCAGCCAAGUGCUAACUUACUGACAUGGCUUUGUGUUCAUAAAGAAUACAACGCAGGAACAGCCAGAUGGAAGCCAAGCAUGGGGGCAAGCUGGUUUGGGGAUUGGAACAUGAGUUUCAAAGGCCUCUGGUACACUGCGCUGUCAAGACACAGAAGUGUUCGACAAUCCGGACGCCCCCUGUAGGUGUGCUUGAUGGAAUCAUUAUCCCCUGGUAACUGAGUCCCAGCGUGCACCCACCCCAGAGGAAAAGCUGAGAAGCUCCAACAUAUGAUACUGUGUAGUUGGUUUCCCAGGCAACCAGCCCCUGUCUAGAAGCAACUUAAGUCACCUCAUUAACAGGUAGAGGUGCUCCUGGGCUUGCGGUGAGGAGUAUGUUCUGAUAAACCUGUUGUAAGUUGAGAAUAUUGUAAGUUGAAAUGUAUUUAUAACUUACCAAGCAUCACCACAACAGAAGUCUGUAGAGUUAUCUGUGUUUACCCUGAGGCUGUAGGACUGCCUUUUGUGGCUCUGCCCUCCUGCCCAGCAAGCUUCGCAAGAAAAGAUCAUACCUCCUGCCAUUAGCCUGGAAAAGAGCAAAGUUCAAAAUUCAAAGUAUUUCUAUUGAGUGUACCUGGCUUUUUUUUUUUUUUUUUUUUUUUUUUAACCAUUGUGAAUGUAGAAAAUCCUAAAUUGAACAUCCUAAUUUGGGACCAUUGAACUCACCUGUGGUCACUAUGAAUAACAAAAGAUACUCCUGACAUCAGGACAUUCCUGGGGUUUUAGGAACUUUGUGCCAGGAACUGGGGACAAAGACCAAAAUACACAC